AAAACCAACUGCCACGACCUCUUGGGCUCCAAAAUUCCAACUGCUCCAGGCUCAAAGCCAAAAAGCUACCAGGGUUUUUCUACAGAAGAUGUAAAUCUUCACUCAAUUCAGCACCAAUGAGGCACAGGACUACUGCUAAUUGACCUCCUGGCUCGGGAAGAUAAAGGCUUUGGCUUGGUUCAUGAACUGAGAGCUAAAAUCUGAGAAAACCCAAAUGCUCCCUAGGGUAUGUUAGAAAGUGUUACUUACUGCUGUGACCCUUCGCCAAUUGUCCCGUAGGCAAGACUCAUUCCAAGGAAGCCAUCCUUAGAGGAAAGCAAACAAAGAUGCCCCCUGCCCACUCAUAAGCUGCUGUACCUGUAGCCAAGCACCACCACACUCUAAGCAUGACCAAGCUGAUCCAGGUGCUCCUCACUCCUCAGCUCCAGGUCAUCCACAGGCUAAACAGACCACAUUUAGAAAUACUGCUUGCUUGGGGGCAGGGAAGAGAGAAGUCAAUCCUUUCAACUCAAACAUCUGAUCCAGACACUGCACACUAGAGACAAAAAGACUUCGAUCUGGUAUUCCAGAAGACAUCUGAGCAGAGGCCUGAGCACCUCCUUCACAGGAUAAGGGCAGCAGGAAUUCAGCACCUCACCAGGGGAUGACCUGAGUACAGCUCUUUCUGUCCUCUGCCUGCCUUCCCAUUCCAUGCUGGGCUUCCAUCCCAGUUAACAAGAGCCAAUCUGUUUACUAAGAACCUAGCAGGUGACAAGAGCAAGCUUACAAUAGUGAAGACAAGGGCCUUGUCAUCAAAGGAGCUUAUGGCUCCUCAAGAGUGGUGAAUGCCAUUGCCAUGCAACUGACUGAGAGGCAUCAGCAGUGAAGGUAGGAAAAAAAGUUACUUUACUUUCAGUCACCUAGGGAAUUUGGGAAGAAAGCAGUCAGAGGAGGGCAGAGAAACUGUACAGUACACAGUCCACUGAAAUCACAACUUAACCACAGGACGACUGCUCCUCUUCUAUUUGAGAAAGACUAAACUGGGAGAUUUUAAUUUCACAAAAAUUCCCUGCUUACCUAUAACCUGGGUGUUAACAAAGCAAUAAAUCUGACCAUACAGCAGGGGUAAAAGAGUCAUGGGAUCUGAAUCUACCACAAACUAGGCACCUGGCCUCUGGACCCUGUGGUGUCUGGGCUUCUCACCACGCCUGUCUGUCUGCAAACAGAAAAGGGUGUGGCUUACUCGUACUCAGUACUCCAACCUUGAUACAAACUAGACCCUGGGAACCAAGCAGGGUAGAGGAAAAACACACCGCGCCUGAUUCCCGACAGCAGAACCUCUGCGUCAAAGUCUUCUACUAAGGUGCAACUUACAAUAUCAUUUGACUAUUUCGAGUGUGCAAAUCAGUUAUUUUUGCUAAAUCUGCCAAGUUGUGUAACCAUCAUCAUAAUCUAGUUUUAAAACAUUUCCAUCACCCUGGAGAGAAUUUAAAACAUUUUAAAAAUU